rnacentral:rRNA from 1 species
GUCUAUGGCCAUAUUACCCUAAACGUGCUCAAUCUCUUCUGGUCUCAGAAGCUAAGGAGGGUCAGGAGUGACAUUAAUACUUGGGUGGGAGACAGAUCUUAACAAGACACUGCUCAAAGACA